UGUGCUUUUUUCACGAGGGAAUCAAGGGUGUCGGUAGUAGCAGGCAGUGUCGUCGUUCCGGUGAUGAAAAUCAUGGAACUCUCGAUAUCCAACAUGGCCUCUGAUACGCUGGACAGCAAGACCAUGAGGCUCUCCAGAUCAGCUCGUUCGACGACAGUGCCAUGGCCACUGAGUUUCUUUAUUUCUGCUAUCACCAUCCUAGUGAUAGUAUUUCUCUCAGCACCUGCAACGUAAUAACAAUAAUUCUUAUGGGUACAUGAAUGUGGCCAAGCAAACGCUAAGGAUAUGCACUCAUUAAUUGUUUCGAAUGGGGAAUGUAUGAAUGACUGGCUUGGAGGAUUCAUCAAUUAUUUUUGGAAGAAGGAAUAGAUAUUACAGAAAUGAAUAAAGAAGAGAUUAGGAGGGAGCCAACACUUUUGGUGCUAAGGAACAGCACAACCAGUGUUUCACCUGUAGUCUUUCUGAUGGAGUCAUCGCUGCUAUCACCAUUAACGAAGAUUCUUAUGAGCAUCUUCGUUAGAUUACCUCUGUUUUCAGUUUUGUCCAUGCAUAACUGCGUGAGGAUCUGCAUGGCCUUCAUGUGCAGCU